AUCGUCAGAAGUUCCAGAAAGAAAUUACUAUCGCCGAACGUCUGUGCCACAUGAGAGUUACAGAAGCGUGGGAUUGAAAUCUUUCUACAGAUAUAUUGCCGAGUAUAUUACAGGAAGAGUAAAAGUAUAGAGUAGA